UACGUAGGCGGCCUUGUAAGCAUCUCGUGAAAUCCCACGGCUCAACCAUGGAAUUGCGGGGUGAACUGCAAGGCUUGAGGCAGGUAGAGGUCAUCGGAACGAUCGGUGGAGCGGUGAAAUGCGUUGAUAUCGAUCGGAACGCCGAAGGAGAAGUCAGGUGACUGGGCCUGUCCUGACGCUGAGGUACGAAAGCGUGGGUAGCGAACAGGAUUAGAUACCCUGGUAGUCC
rnacentral:rRNA from 1 species